UGUUUGUCUCGGCUCAUCAAUUGGACGGUCAGAAUGCUCCUACGACGUCCCUCACUGCCCGUUGGAUUUGGAAACCGCCCCCUUCGUCGCAUCAGCUCACACCUACAUCCCAUGCCGACCUGUCCCUCUAAUCAUCAUCAAGCGCCUCCGCCUGAAACCCUUCAAACAAAACCGAACGAGAAAUAGAUCAGAAGCACAAAAUUGAACUUGAAAACGAAGGUGCUUGGAUCGAUGAGUAGCAGCAGAGUGAAGAACUUCCGCCGCCGCUCCGAGGCGGAUGAUGCAAACGGCGAGGAGAAAUCCGCACCGAGUCCGGCCGCCACUAAGAGUCAAACCCUAAUUCAAACCAAAUCCAAGACCUCCAAACCGGAAGCCCCGAAGCGGCUUAGCUUCGCCGACGAUGAGGAGGAGGAGAACGACGAUCGCCCUGCCACCGUCCGUCGCCCCGCCCGGACCCCGGCCUCCUCCUCCGCCACUUUCCACAAGCAUACCUCCGCCAAGGACCGCUCGAAGGCCUCGCAUUUGGCUCCUCCCAUCCCUUCCAAUGUUCAACCGCAGGUCGGCGAGUAUACAAAGGAGCGGCUCCUUGAGCUCCAGAAGAACGCCAGGCCCCUGGGCAGCACGUCACGGCCACAGCGGCCGCAGGCAGCCGCAGAGCCCAAGUCGAAAAAACCUGAUCCCCCUGCUGAACCUGUUAUCGUUCUUAAAGGCCUCCUGAAACCAACCUCGACCACUGUUGUGCCUGGGAGAGACAGCGAGAAGGAUGUUGUGCCGAAACGGCAGGAAGAGGAUGAGGAAGAAGAAGAGGAGGAAGAAGAUGAUCACAAUGGUGGUCCACUGACUGGGAUGAGGUUGCCGGUGAUACCUGAUCAGGCAACCAUAGAAGCUAUCAGGGCAAAGAGGCAGCAGCUUCAGCAACCACGUCAUGCUGCACCCGAUUACAUCUCUCUUGAUGGCGGGAUGCCAAGUAGCCACCCUUCUGCUGGCGCAUCAAGUGAUGAAGAGGACAAUGAUUUUCAAGAGAGGAUUGCUUUGUUUGGGGAUAAGGUGGAUGAUGGGUCGAAGAAGGGGGUUUUUGAGACUAUUGGGCAGAGGAUCAAUGCAGCAGAGGUGAGGUUUGUGGAUGGUGGACUCAGUAAAGUGCAUGACAAUGUGGAUGAUGAUGAAGAUGAGGAGGAGAGAAAAUGGGAGGAAGAGCAGUUCAGGAAGGGACUGGGAAGGAGAAUUGAUGAGGCUUCCACUCAGAGAGUCAAUUACAGCAUUCCAACCAUUCCUGCUAUCCAGCCACUGCCAACUGCCUACACUGGCGUCACCCAUCAACCCUCAGUGAGCAGCAUGUCAACUUCAUUUGGUGUUUCACGUAGUGCAGAGGUUAUGUCAAUAUCUCAGCAGGCUGAGGUUGCAACACGAGCUCUGCAGGAGAGCAUCAGCAAACUUAAGGAAUCACACAAAAUGACGAUGAAUUCAUUGGUGAAAACAGAUACAAAUAUCACCAAAGCACUAUCUGAAAUUACCAAUCUUGAGAAGUCUUUGAAAGCUGCUGAUGAUAAGUAUGUAUUUAUGCAACAAUUCCGGGACUUUAUUUCGGUGAUGUGUGAUUUUUUGAAUGACAAGGCUUAUUUUAUUGAGGAACUGGAAGAGCAGAUGCAGAAGCUCCAUGAGAAGAGGGCAUUAGCUGUUGUUGAAAGAAGAGCUGCUGAUAUUUCUGAUGAUUCCAAUGAAGUGGAAGCUGCUGUGAAUGCAGCGAUUGCAGUUCUGAAUAAAGGCUCUGGAUCGGCUUACAUUGCUGCUGCUACAGCUGCAGCUCAGGCUGCCAAUGCUGCUGCUCAAGAAAGUGCAGAUUUACCUGUUGAACUGGAUGAGUUUGGCAGGGAUAUCAAUCUAAAAUUGCGCAUGGAUUUUGCACGGAGGGCAGAGUCCAGGAAAAGGAGGAAAGCUUGGGCUGAAUCCAAAAGAAUCACAUAUAUUGGUAAGGAUAAUGUUUCCCAGCAGAUUGAAGGAGAAUUAAGCACCGAUGAGAGUGAUUCUGAAAGCAAUGCAUAUAUUUCUAGCAGGAAUGAGUUGCUCCAAACUGCUGAAGAAAUUUUCAGUGAUGCAUCGGAAGAGUAUUCUAACCUUACGACUGUGAAGGAAAGGUUCGAAAGAUGGAAGAGCCAUUACCUUUCUAGUUAUCGAGAUGCUUAUGUCUCCCUAAGCAUACCCUCUUUGUUCUCUCCGUAUGUGAGAUUGGAGCUUUUGAAGUGGGAUCCUCUUUAUGAUGCGACAGACUUUUUUGACAUGGAGUGGCACAGACUUCUUUUUGAUUAUGGAUUGCCAGGAAAAGGUCAAGAUUUUGAACCUAAUGAUGCAGAUGCUAAUCUUAUUCCAGAAAUAGUUGAAAAGGUAGCGCUUCCUAUCUUGCAUCAUGAAAUUGCACACUGUUGGGACAUAUUGAGUACCCAAAGGACGAAAAAUGCAGUCUUUGCAACAAAUAUGGUCAUCAGCUAUGUUCCAGCUUCAAGCAAGCCUUUGCGUGAAUUGUUGACUGUUGUCCACAAUCGCUUGAAUGAGGCCAUCAGUAGCCUUAAUUUGCCAGUUUGGAGUAGUGUUGUGACAAAGGCUGUGCCAGGCGCUGCACAAAUUGUGGCAUAUAGGUUUGGUACAUCUGUUCGGCUUCUUAGAAAUAUUUGCCUGUGGAAAAAUAUUCUUUCCAUGCCAGUUUUAGAGAAUCUUGCCCUUGAAGAGCUUUUGGGAGGGAAGCUCCUGCCUCAUGUCAAAAGCAUCAUGCCCAAUAUUCAUGAUGCCAUCAUGAGGACAGAGAGAAUCGUAGCAUCACUUGUAGGGGUUUGGUCUGGUCCUGAGGUCACUUCACGACCCAGUCAGAAGCUGCAGCCCUUGGUUGAUUGCAUUGCAGAGUUAGGGGGCAAGUUGGAGAAAAGGCAUGCAUCAGGUGUGAGCGAGGAAGAGACUUGUGGGCUUGCUCGCCGUUUGAAGAAUAUGUUAGUGUCCUUGAAUGAGUAUGACAAAGCUAGAGCAAUUCUGAGAAUCUUUCAGCUCAAAGAAGCACUCUGAGAUUGUGGACGUUCUUGUACCUGUCAUCUCAAACAUCUUUGGAAGUGCAUGGAUGAGGUUUGCAUUUUAGAGAAAGCCUUCAACAAACAGAGCUAGUUGUGAGUCACAAAUUGGAGGUUCAUUGGACAGAAAAUCAAGAUUAUAACAGAUGACGGUGGCUGGUAUACUUCGAUAGGCAAAAGUCAACCGUGAUACAACAACAAUAACAAAACUGUAAGUCCUAAUUAUGAAUAGACAAAGCUGCAUUUUUUUCACAUGUAAAGAAAAAAAAUUCUAUAGCAUAUGUUUCUCAGAUUUUUGUUUAGUUUGUGUAGGGAUAAUUUAAUUUUGUUUUUUUGGAGUAUCUCAGUUUUGCAUUCUUGACAGAUUUUGUGUAAUGUACUACCUUUCUUCACUGAAAAUCAAUAUUAGAAGCACAAAAAAUUCGAGCCAUCUUGGCCAUUGGAAGAAGUUAUGAUAAUAUCUAUUUAUCCUAAAAAAAAAGCUAGUGGUAAUGAGUAAGAAUUAUUAUCAAAACAUGUUAAUAGAGAUAAAUUCAUUGUUGUUUCAAAUUAUGAUUCAGUUUAUAUGACAAGUUUGUUACUUUAUACAUGUGACAGUUCUAUUUUUGAUGACAACUUUGGCUUGUAGAAUGUUCCAUUUUGGUGGGACUAAUUAUAUUAAUGAAUGUGAAAUUAGGGUUUCCGUAGCAUCUUAAUUUCAUAUCAGAACCAUUGAUUUGCUUCCUGUUUUUGCUGUACUUUCCAAAUAAGAUGCAAGACUGCAACUAAAACCUAUGGAAUCCAGUGUAUGAUACAUACAAAUAACUUAUUACAAUCAGUUUUUAUCUUUUCUUUUUGUUAUGAGAUCAUGGUGCCCCUCAGAUUGUAAAAUUUUUUGGAUGUAUCCUGCCAUUAUCUCCAUGAAUACUUGUCAUUUUUUGUUGUACCAAUAAUACAAAGUAUGUUUUGAUGGAAAUACAGUGAACCAAAUGGUGUCCUUUCCCUUUGGUGCAUUGAUUCUGUAUUAAAUAAUCAUAUGCAUGUUUUCAAUGCACCAUCCUAAUGCAGUUAUAGUGUGUAGCCACUUCUGACAAAAAAAAUUUGGAGCACAAAAGAAUCACAAGACUGGUACAUCCACUUGAUGAAGGCCGAGAAAUUUGUGUUGAAUCCUGACCUCCUAAGUGCAAUUUGUGCCUCAUUUCUUUUAGUCUCUUUGGUACUAAUUUGAGAAAAUAUAUGUUGCGACCAUCAAGAACUAUGGAUUUCUAUAGCCUGGUAUUUUAAUCGAUUUAAUGAAGAUCAACUUGCUCCUUCAUGGGAUCAUCUGAAGACCGAGGAUCAUAGUUCACCGACAAAUUAUCAUCUUCAGAUUUGGUGCCAUUUUGCAGGUGGAGUUAUAUAAAAGUCUUUGUCAUGGUUGUGUGAUGGUGCCAACAGGGAUGUGCUUCAAAACAUAUAUUUUCUAUUCCAAAGACCAGCCCUAUUGUAUACAUUAAGGCACAUGCUUGUGAUAAUGGGUUUCACUUGUUGGGAUGGAUAUCAGGAAGCUGCAGGGGUAGAAAAAUAGUCUUUCUUCUGCACUUGUGCCUCUUGAUCUUGAGAUCCUCCCUAAUAUAUCAUUUCCAUGAUUAAUAGUUUCA